AGCUUUGCGCAGUGGCAGUAUCGUAGCCAAUGAGGUUUAUCCAUGGCACGAUUAUUGCUAAUUGAAUAACAAUAUGAAUAUAAGACUCAUCAUCACAGAGUAAUAAAUCCAAGCCAGGGGCAUCAUUCAUGUUGUAAUUACUUAUUGGGUGCCUAAACU
rnacentral:snRNA from 1 species